AAGGGACAUACCUAUAGGGGGAUUUUGGAGACAUCAAAUGUCUCAUUUCGGUGUUCUUCUUACAUUCAUUUAUCAAAUAACUUCGAAAGGAUGCCAGCUUUCUGUGUAGAUACUAGCAAAAGAGACGUCUCUGCAACAGGUCCAGGCUGAUGUGCAAGCCACUUGGGCCCUAGGACCUAGCAGAUCUUAUGGUGCUUGAAGAGUCCAUGGGCAAUGGGAUGAUGUUAAGGGCCCAUAGCAUGCAUUUAUAGGUAAAUAACUGUGGAGACUCUUAUCAUUUUGCAAUAAGGCUAUACCAUCUUCUGCAGAUAUCAAUUCUUGUUUUAAGAAAUAGUUUCUGGCCUGUUACUGGGAACUAGUAAAGAUUAAAUGCUAGACCAUUAGUCAUCAAUUUUCUGUGCCACCUGAAGUACCCAACAUGAACUAGGUGUUGUCUUACUAAACCAUGAAGUUGGGUAUGCACAGCAACAUCCCUUCAUCAAAUGGAAAUGGUUAAUAUAAGAUCCAGCCUGCACAGGUCAUGAAGGCACAGGUGUGGCCUCUUUGAGAGUUCCCUUUGAUCAUCGUUGAACAAGAAAAUAUUUGGGUCUGGUUUACCAAAGGACCUACAAGAUUUUCUGGCACCACCAUUCCCUGGAGGGGUCAGCCAGCUACAUGUUGGCAGGAUGAUGGCACUGGACCAUUUCCAUCGUGGAAGGGGCAGCAUUUUGUCCUCACUGGAACAGACACUUGGUUAGAAUAUGAAUAUGCUUUCGCUGUACAUAUUUGUUCUGCUAAAACCACCAAUUGUGUAUGCCUUAUUCACUGUUAUGAUAUUCCACGUAGCAUUACUUCUGACCAAGGAACUCAUCUCACAGCUAAUGAAGUGUGGAUAAGGAAGGGACUUUUGAAGAUUUUGUUAUGUUCCCAAGUGGGGGACAUCAUAUUAUAGGGCUGGGGUAGUGUCCUAUGGAUGUAGUACAUAUCCCAAAUCAGCAACCAAAGUAUAGUGCUGUUUCUCCCAUAACAUGAUCAAGGAAUGGGAAUGAGAUCAGCUGCUCUUAGUUUACCCUUUGUGAUCCACUAACAGUAUUUUUGCUUCUAGUCCUGGUGACUUUGGGCUCUGCUGCUUUAGGGCAUUUUACUUUUCCAGAAGAAUAAUGCUUCUGCCAGGAAACACAGUAACACUCCUGUUAAAUUGGAAGUUGAGACUGCUCCCUGAG
rnacentral:lncRNA from 1 species